UACGUAGGGAGCAAGCGUUGUCCGGAAUUACUGGGCGUAAAGGGCUCGUAGGUGGUUGAGUAAGUCAGAUGUGAAAUCUCAGGGCCCAACCCUGAGCGUGCAUUUGAUACUGCUCUGACUAGAGUCCGGUAGGGGAGUGCGGAAUUCCUGGUAUAGCGGUGAAACGCGCAGAUAUCAGGAGGAACACCGACAGCGAAGGCAGCGCUCUGGGCGGUACUGACACUGAGGAGCGAAAGCAUGGUAGCAAAAC
rnacentral:rRNA from 1 species